UUCGGUUGAUCCCGCCGGAGGCUACCGCUAUUGGAGUUCGAUUAAGCCAUGCGAGUCGCGAGAAAUUAGAUUCUCGGCGUACCGCUCAGUAACACGUGGGUAACCUGCCCUAUGCUGGAUAAUAACCUCGGGAAACUGAGAAUAAUGAUCCAUAGUUCACUACGCCUGGAACGGUGAGUGGAUGAAAGCUCCGGCGGCAUAGGAUGGGCCUGCGGCGUAUCAGGUUGUAGGGGGUGUAACGUACCCUCUAGCCCUCUACGCGUACGGGUGUUGGGAGACAUAGCCCGGAGAUGGAUUCUGAGACACGAAUCCAGACCCUACGGGGUGCAGCAGGCGCGAAAACUUGGCAAUGCGAGAAAUCGUGACCAGGGAACUCCAAGUGCAUGGGGUAAGACCCAUGCUUUUCUUGACUCUAAAUAGGUCUUGGAAUAAGGGGUGGGUAAGGACGGUGCCAGCCGCCGCGGUAAUACCGGCGCCUCAAGUGGUAGUCGCUUUUAUUGGGCCUAAAACGUCCGUAGCCGGUCUGAUACAUUCGUGGGUAAAUCAACCAGCUUAACUGGUUGAAUUCUGCGAGGACGGUCAGACUUGGGACCGGGAGAGGUGUGGGGUACGCUCAGGGUAGGGGUAAAAUCCUGUCAUCCUGAGCGGACCACCUGUUGCGAAGGCGCCACACUAGAACGGAUCCGACGGUCAGGGACGAAGCCUAGGGGCACGAACCGGAUUAGAUACCCGGGUAGUCCUAGGUGUAAACGCUGUGGACUUGAUGUUGGGAGUGCUCCGAGCACCCUCAGUGUCGAAGCGAAGGUGAUAAGUCCACUGCCUGGGGAGUACGGUCGCAAGGCUGAAACUUAAAGGAAUUGGCGGGGGAGCACUGCAACCUGAGGAUUGUGCGGUUUAAUUGGAUUCAACGCCGG
rnacentral:rRNA from 1 species